CUUUUGACAACUAUUGUCAAAAACGCCGGCGGAUAGCUUAAGCCGUCUUGCAUCUAAGUUCAUAACUUCCUUUUUUCUGUUGGAUGCUGAGCUGCGAGGACGUGUUGGAUGAAAAAUUAUCCCGGAAUCAUCCACUUAAUCUUCAAUAUUACCGCCAAUUUUAAUAAUAAGUUUCCUGUCUUGGACUUUUGCAUCCGCAACAUUUGCAUGCUUCUUAUGUUAAUUUCUCGAAACGUUGAAGAAUAAGCAAAGCGCCCUACCGGGAAAAACUUUGGAGAGGAAAGUUCUCCAUCUAAAGCUCCUUUUCUUGCGGCGCUCAUAGCAGGCUCAUUCUCAACGCAGGUGCCUUAGUCUACAUCGUCCGCGCGCGUUAAGCGGUGGUGCCCGCAACGAAAAUUUUUUGAGAUUUGGCCUUAGUUUUUUUCAUCGAGGGAAUCUAACCAGCCGCUGAUGAGGGCGGGAGGCAAACCCCCUCCGAAAAG